UACGGAGGAUGCAAGCGUUAUCCGGAAUGACUGGGCGUAAAGGGCGCGUAGGCGGAUAAUUAAGUUGGAUGUGAAAUCCCUGGGCUUAACCUAGGACGGUCAUUCAAUACUGGUUAUCUAGAGUGCAGUAGAGGGUAGUGGAAUUUCCGGUGUAGCGGUGAAAUGCGUAGAUAUCGGAAGGAACACCAGUGGCGAAGGCGGCUACCUGGACUGACACUGACGCUGAGGCGCGAAAGCGUGGGUAGCAAACAGG
rnacentral:rRNA from 1 species